GUACCUUAAGACAACCUGUGGUUUCCAGUAAACUAACCAGACUCUUCUCUGUCAGGAUGGCUGCGUGACCAUCACUGACUCCAGCCUGACGCCACAUCAGAAAGCUGACAAGAGGAGCAUCACAGUCAGAGUUUACCGCAGCACCUACCACACUCUGCAGGAGCCUGAGCCUGACCUGGUCAUCGGUUUCAAGCCUUCUUUCCUGCGUAAUGACUCUUGGUUCAGCACUCUUCCCAAACUCCAGUCUCUGCGGGUUCCAGCCUUCUUCUGCCAGAUCAGUGAGCUGAGAUGUGAGAGCAGUGAGGGAGUGAUGAACAAGGCCACAGGGGGCACUGUCUCCCCACCAACGAUCAA